rnacentral:lncRNA from 1 species
GUGGUGAUCAAUGGGCCUAGUCCAGAAGACUCUGUCUAUAUGUCCCAUAGGGAGGUCACAAAGAAGUCCUUAUUGGGGGCAGAUAUCUGGACUGACCACAUUCAGUAACUGGGAGGGAGCUGAGAACUGGAAAUUUGAGAUGGAGUUUUCCCAUGUUGCCCAUGCUGGUCUGGAACUCCUGAGCACAGGUGAUCCACCCGCUUCUGCCUCCCAAAGUGCUGGAAUUACAGGCAUGAGCCACUGUGCCUGACCCAUUUCCUUGUUUCUCUUUUCUUUGUUUAUCCCACCUCCCAUAGAAACAACUGAAGAGUAGCAGA